AAGAUCUGGGUUGACAAAUCCAGAGUCCAGUGAAAGGAGUAAAAGAACAUGUACACGUAUAACACAAACCAGUCUCGCUGACACUAUCUGCCUUUAAUGUCAGUACUCCUAAGGACGCUAGUAUCAUUUCCUUGUGAUAGAAUGCCCAUGAGAAGCAACUUAGGGUAUAUGUGUGGGUGAUACUUUGGCUCCAGUUUCUGAGGAUGCACCAUGACAGGAAAUCAUGGGAGCUCAGACAUCUCAGUCCAGUGGCAGGGGUACGGGGUGCUGUAUGGCUUCCUGACAUCUUGUCAGAGCAGAGAGCAGAGAACUCAGGCCAGAACCCAAAGCAAAUAUUGCCUUCAAGACCUGCCUCCAGUCAUCAAUUUCUGCUGAUUAGGUCAUAGACCUAAAGGUUCUACAACCAUCUAACAUAUCACUGUCACCUGGAACACGCUCUCAAGCCACGAGCCUGGGAGGACAUCCCAAAGUCAAGCCAUAAUAGCUGGUGCUGGAGCUCCUGUAACUUCAAGUCCACCCGGGAGCGGAGCUUCGUGAUCUCUGCAUUGGUGGCCUCGAUGGCGCGUUCCUUCUCCUGGAGGGAAGCGGUCAAGUCGGACACUGUCCUCUCAGAGCUCUCAAGGUUCAUCUUCUUGGCUGUCAACUCUUCCACCACCUUGCGCAGCAUCUCCUUGGUGGACUCCAGCUGUGCAGUGAGGGAGGACACUUUCUCCAGACUCUCGUUCUUCCCCUGAAUGGCUGCCAUCUUUGGGCCUCCAGCCGCUGCACCUCCAUGUUCCGGUCAUCCAGCUCGCGCCGCAGGUGGUCGAUGGUGAUGCUGUUGCCUGUGUCUCGGUCCCACAGACGCUUGUUCUGUUCUUU